UUAAAAAGCUCGUAGUUGGAUUUCGGAGUGGGCCAGUUGGUCCGCCGCAAGGUGUGUUACUGACUGGUUUGCUCUUCUUCGCAAAGACUGCGUGUGCUCUUGAGUGAGUGUGCGUAGGAUUUACGACGUUUACUUUGAAGAAAUUAGAGUGUUCAAAGCAGGCUAUUGCUUGAAUACAUGAGCAUGGAAUAAUGGAAUAGGACUUUGGUCCCAUUUUGUUGGUUUCUAGGGCCGAAGUAAUGAUUAAGAGGGACAAUUGGGGGCAUCCGUAUUUCGUUGUCAGAGGUGAAAUUCUUGGAUUUACGAAAGACGAACAACUGCGAAAGCACUUGCCA
rnacentral:rRNA from 1 species